UCGUUCAGCAUUCUUGCUGGCCGGAGGGU
rnacentral:sRNA from 1 species